AGAAUCAAUGAGGAUGAAGACAAAAGUAGGUUUAGGUAGUCAGUUUGACUUUGGUCAACUGGUUGACCAAAAGUCAACUGGUUGACCAAAAGUCAACCUUAUGUCAAAAAGGUUUUUUGUAUGUAAUUUGUACUUUGGCUUUUUGUAAUGAAAUUCUUUGGAAUUGUAAUUGAAUAUUGGAUUUGAAUUUGAAUUUGAAUUUGUAACUUUUUUCACAAGCUAUGCAUAUUCCCUCUAAUUUUGAAUUUGAAUUUGAACUUGAAAUCCUUUUAUUUGAAUUGAAUCCUUGAAUUUGAAUUUAAUGUCUUGAACCAAAAGAACAAAGCCAAUAAAUUAACCAUGCAAGACCUCAUGAGAAAAUGGUCAACAGAAAGUCAACCUUCCAUGGUUGACUUUGUUGACAAGAGUCAAUCUUGAAAAAUGAUCUCCCAUUUCACAACCAUGAUAUAGUUCAGUAUAAUCAAUAGUCUAGACCCAUAUUAGGGAUCCCCAAAGAGUUCAUCCAAGAAAGUGAUCCACCACAAGUUUAUUGUGCCCAAAUAGUCAAGAUGUAAUAUAAUGAAACUCACAAGCUUGCAUACCAUAAUUUAGUGCCUUGUAUGCAUAACAAGAACCUUUUGAAUCAAUGAUGUUAUUUGAAAAAUGCAAGUGCUGAUGAAUGUCUUAUGGUAGAUGACUAGGAUAAGAAUGUGCUGAUGGAUCAUAAGCCAUGGGCCAUAUGAAAUGAGAAAGAGGUAGGUAAACUUUUGGGGUAUGACAAUUUCCCCUAUUUAUUCAUCUUGGACCUGAAUGUAUGAAUGACGACAAUAUUUAGGGCAUUCGAGGUAGAAGAGGAUUAAAUACAAUUAUCCAAAAAAUUGUCCUUUGAGAGAGGAAUGGGUGUAAUGUAAGGAGAAUAAAUGUAUUGUUGGGAAUUUGUUUGCUGAGGAUAUGGAAUGGAAGAUAGGCUUUUGUGGGGUUAUUGACUAACAUCCUUGGGGAACAGAUCAGUCGCGAAAGAGAUAUUUAUUAUGAGAGAUUUAUGUAAUGCAUAUGCUUGAUUUAUAUAAUGCAUGAGAUUAUGCAUGUUAUGUAGCAAUGUGAGGUUUUUUUUGGGAAAUGAAUGGUAUCCACAAGGACGAGACUCUUUUGUGUAAUGGUAGACUUCGAUUCUCCGACCUCUGAUAAUUGAACCAGAGAAUUUGUAAUGAAGGAGAGGACCAUCUAGUUACGACAACUACUGGAGAUUUUAUUUUGAUUCCUUCUGAGAGAGAGAAUGAGUUACGACCCGAUUGGGAAGCCAUCAAGAUGCUUUCAUAUUUUAAGCAUUCACUGUAGACUACCAAUCUCCCUUUAGAAAUUUUCAAGUGAACAAGGUAAUGCACAAGUUUUUUAUUUUUAGCUUUUUAUUAGUCUCGAUACUUUGCAGUAUUAUAUAUAAAAAAUAAUCAAUAAUUUGCAAACAAAAUACAUGGAAAGAAAAUUGAUAACAAAAAGAAAAUUGAUAAGGGAAAAAGAAUUUUAUUGGAUGUUAAAGAAAGUUUGCACAUAAGAUGUGAGUACAAAGAUGCAAAAUCCUAGAAGAGGAAACUACAAAAUUUGAAAAAUAAAGUAAAUGGCAAUGGGAAAUUUAUAUGAAUUUCCUUUGGUUACAACAUUGGCUAUUGUCCAUUGUAAGAUCAGAACCCCAAUACUUUGCUUUAGUUGACGAUGAUUGGACUGAUAUUUUUCCGUCUGAAUUCUAGUUGUGAUGAAGUAGGUUUAAGUGUUGUAGUAAAAUGCCUUUUUUCCUAACUUUUGCCUGGAUAUUUUUUUCUAUUUUUUUCAUCCACUGGGAUACCCAUUUUUCCUAAGUCACAUUUUCAGGUUUUUAACUUAGCAGGCUUAUUAUCAUAAUUUUUUAUUGAUCCCUAAUUUUUUCUUGGACAUUUCUUUUUUUGGGUCCACCGGGAUUCCCAUUUUUGCCUAGGUUGUCCUUUCGGAUGUAUCUAGCGGGCUAUUUAUUAAUUUCUUUUUAGGCAUAUUAUUUUUUGAAUGUAUCGGAGUUCAAGGGAAAUGGAAACUCCUCCCCAUCCAUGGUGGUGAGGAUCAGGACUCUGGCUAAGAAUGCCUUCUUUACUAUAAAGGAUCCUUCAUAGUUAGGAGUCCAGUUGCCUCAUGGAUCCGAAUGUAUUGUUGAUUAGUUAUUGAGCAAUAGGUCACAUUCUUGGAAUACAUGAGGGAAAAUCUUCUUGUCAAAAGAAUUCUUGAGAUGUCUUUGGUAUAGCUGACCAUGGCAAAGAGCAAUCAAGCGUUUUUCGUCUAUGAGAUUACGCUGAUGAAACCUGGAUUGGACCCAUUCUACUUCAUCAAGCUUUGCUUUCAUGAUGACCCUUAAUGAAGGAAUUUUAACCUCGAUUGGGAGGACAACUUCCAUGCCAUAUACGCGUGAGAAUAAAGUUUCCUCAGUAGAGGUUCAUACCGAAGUUCUGUAUCCAUAUAGAGCGAAGGGAAGCAUCUCAUGCCAAUCCUUGUAUGUCUUGACCAUUUUCUGGAUAAUAUUCUUGUUUUCUACUUCUACGAUGCCAUUCAUCUCGGGCCAAUAUGGUGAAGAGUUAUGGUGUUCAAUUUUGAAGUCCUUGCACAUCUCUUUCAUCAUUUUGUUGUUCAGGUUGUUGGUGUUGUCAUUAAUAAUCUUGCUAGGAACUCUGUUGCGAUAAAUCAUUUCCUUCUUGAUGAACCUUGUAACCACUUAUCGAGUGACAUUGCUGUAUGAAGCAUCUUCGACCAAUUUUGUGAAGUAAUUGAUAGAGACUAAAAUGAAUCGAUAACCGUUAAAAGCUCUUGGCUCGAUCAUUCAAAUCAUAUCAAUUCCCCACAUAGAGAAGGGCCAGGGUGAUGUCAAUAUGUUCAAUGGAGUUGGUGGCACAUGGAUCUUGUCAGUAUAGAUCUGGCAUUUGUGACACCUUCUGAAUUAGUUGAAAUAAGCAGUCUCCAUGGUUGUCCAAUAAUAGAUGGAUCAGAAGAUUUUAUUAGUCAUAACAUGUCCAUUGGUAGGGACUUUUUCACAACCUUCAUGGAAUGCUUUUAUAAUCAUGUCUGCUUCGUGUCUAUCCACGCAUUUGAGCAAGACUGGGUCAUAAUUCCUUUUAUACUACAUGUCACUAUUCAAGAAGAACUUGGUUGAUAGCGUCCUCAUAGUCUUCUUAUCUGUAAUAGAUACGUUCUUGGGAUACUCUUGUUUCUCUAUAUACCUUUUGAUGACGUAGAACCCAGGUUUGUCAUCGGAUUCUGCCUCGAUUGCUAAAUAAUAUGUUGGUACAUCCAGGUGUUUAAUUGUUAUCGAUGGUGCUUCGCUAGCCUAAUUAACUUUGAACAUUCAUGACAAGGUAGCCAAAAUGUCUGCUAGUUGAUUUUCUUCCAUAGGGAUAUGAUGAAAGGUGAUUUCACCAAAGUAGGGAAUUAACUUCAAGAUGUGUUUCUUGUAUGGAAUCAACUUGUGAUCACGAGUUUCCCAACCCCCUUUGAUUUGAUUGAUGACCAGAGCUGAAUCUUCGUAUACCUCAAGGUAUACCUGUGUCAUUUUAUUUUCUACCUGUGUCAUCAUGUUGACCUAGUAGACAACACGAUCAUUCAUUCAAUAUCGUAAGAUACAUUAUUAGUGGCCUACUUGGAACUCGUGGUAUUGGGAUCAGCGGUUCCUGCAAGUAUUUCUUUAUUUUUUUUGAAUGCUCCUUCGCAAUCGUUGUUCCACUCGAUUGUUUGUUUUUUCUUAAUAAUUUGAUAUAGGUACGCAGGUAGCCAUCAGAUGAGAGAUGAACCUUGAGACGUAGUUUAGUCUACCUAGGAAGCCUUUGGCUUCCUUUUUUGUUUUAGGAGGUGGCAUGUAUUGAAUAGCUCGAACCUUGUCAGGAUCAACUUCAAUGCCUUAAUGACUAACAGUGAAACCCGAAACUUUACCAGAUCUAACCCCAAAGGUGCACUUUACAGGAUUCAAUCGUAGCUUGUACUUCUAGAGUCUAGCAAACAAUUUCUUCAGAUGGUCAAUAUGUUCAUCUUCAGUUUUGGAUUUGGCAAUCAUGUCGUCCAUGUAAACCUCUAUCUCUAAAUGUAUCAUAUCGUUAAAGAUGGUUACCAUGGCUCUUUGAGAGGUUGCCCCUGCAUUUUUCAAACCAAAUGGCAUGACUUUGUAGCAGAAAGUUCCCCACUGAGUGAUAAAAGUAGUCUUUUCCUUAUCAUCGGAAGACAUUUUUAUCUGAUUGCACCCAAAGAACCCAUCCAUAAACGAGAAGAUUGAUAAUUUAGUAGUGUUGUCAACCAAGACGUCAAUAUGAGGAAAAGGGAAAUCAUCCUCUAGGAUUUCUUUAUUGAGGUCUCUUUAGUCCACACACACCUUGACUUUAUCAUUCUUCUUUGGGACUGGUACCAUGUUUACAACCCAUUAAGGAUACUCAGAUAUAACUAAGAAUCCAAUGUCAAAAUGUUUAAUAACUUCUUCUCUAAUCUUGAGUGCGAUGUCUGGUCUUGUCCUUCUAAGGUUCUGCUUGACAUGCGAACAUUCCGGUUUAAGUGGUAAGUGUUGCUCAACGAUGUUAGUGUCUAAACCGGGAAUAUCUUUAUUCGACCAAGCGAAGACAUCUACACAUGCUUGUAGUAGCUUAACCAACUCUAUAUGCACAUGCUUUUCCAGGGAUGCCCUAACUUUCACUUCUUUUCUGGCUUCUUCAGUGCUGAUAUUAAUAACCUCUAUCGACUCUUGAUGCGGCUGAAUCUCUUAUUGCUCUUGCUCAAGGAGCCUGGCUAGUUCACCUAACAAUUCACAAUAUUCCUCAUCGUCGUCUUCAGUGUGGUUAAUUGGAAGCCCAAAGUUACAGGGGAUAUUAGUCGUGUUAUUAUCAAUGGAUUCAUUUUUUAUGCAUGUUUAUGAAAUUUUAUUUUAGAAUUAUGUUGUGAGAAAAAAAUGAAAUAGAAUAAAAAUAAGCUUUUGACAUUUAUUUUGUGAAAAAUAAAAGAUAAAAAAGAAGGAAAGGAACACGAUUCUGAAUGCCAAAAUAUCUUUUAUUAACUGACUAUAUGAUGCUUUGAAAACAUGUGGAGGCUCGUUACAAAAGCUAUCCUCUUGUCUCGGGAGAGGACAAGGGAUUGAGAAAAUACAAGAUGCAUUACUUCGUCACUGAAAAUAUUGUAGGGAUCACGAAGGUCGUCUAGUUGUUCAAUGUGAAGUCGGGUCACUACCAGCAUACAAAGAUCGAAACCUCACUGCUUGCAUCUUCUAUGAUUUCCACAAGGUUGUCGUGUAGGAAACCAACACUAUUGAACACUUUAUUGAUAGUUUAUAACUUCUUUUGAUCUUCUAGGUUGAGCAGGCAUGAUAAGGGAUGAUAGGCAAUACCGAAAUGAUUUUUCUUCUCAGCAACAUCCACAACUUGCCCCCAACCAGGAAUAUUACCCUUUUCAAGUGUUUUUUUUUGCGCUCUUCAGGGAAGAUAGGACCAUCUUUGGUGCUUUGUCCAUAUUAGAUGUAGUUGUGUUGAGGUCUUCAAACUCCAAGUUAUGCAAAGGGAUCUCUGAUGUACCUUCAUUAGUUUCAACAUAUCAGAAUGACGAAAAAUCACCGAUGAGCAGGUCUUCUUCACCAUAGAUGAUAACCAAUUUUUCCUCCACCAUGAAUUUCAACUUUUGGUGCAACAUGGAAGUUACUGCCUCAACAACAUGGAUCCAUGGUCUUUCCAAUAGACAGUGUAGCGAUAAAUUCAUGACCAUCAAGCUAUGGAUAAACUUGAUGUCAAUAAAACCAGAGUCGCCACCGCGCUUUUAUUGUUUCCAAAGGAAAAGGGAAAAGUACGAAGAAAACCUAAUGAUAAGAAGUUUUCAAAUAAAAACUAGUAAAAUGCCAGAGAUUACAGGUAAGGGGGUUGGUUACAUAGAGGGAAGGUGUUAGCACCCAAAGUGUCCUAGGUACUCCUAGGGAGCCCUUUUUAUGUGUGCAUAUGUUUUGGUAUAAAAGAUGUUUGAGAAAAAAUAGAGUGUGGGGAUGAGAAAGGAAUUCAUUGAUUAAAUUUUUGUGUUUGACAAGACCUUCGGCCUUGUGCCUACGUACUAAUAUAAAAAUGAGGUAUCAAAAACUUGUAGUUCGUGGUAAAAAUUUCAAAGAAGUUGGUGUAUUGAUUUUAACAAAAAAAUUAAGUAAAAAGGCACAAAAGGGCCAAAAUUUUGAAUGGAGUUGUUAGUUCUUUUUGUCUUUUGAAAUUUAAGUCAAUAUGGUUAAGUUUAUUUACAAGUUUGAUUUAAGAAAAGAUUUUAAAAUUCAUCGGCAUAUGGCCAAAGUUUCUAAGUUAAAACAUGUCUAAGUUUGAAAACACAAACAAAUAAGGUUUUGAAAAGAGGGAGAGAUUUGAAAUUUAAGAAGUGGGAGAAGAUGAAAAGACUACCCUAAGCACAAAUUUAAAAGUUAAGAGUUGAAAGGAUCUGACCAAUGGGAUAUAAUCCAACGGAGAAGAAUGUCGUAUAAAAACCCAUUUUCUUUUGGACUUUGAUCAAGCAAUAACCAAUAAGAAAUGAGCAAUAUCCAUACAUCAUAAAGAUCAAGGCAUCUAAUAAAGAUAUCCAUAUCCAAACAAGCAUUUCUAUAGCUAGCAGUCUUCAGUGUCCUCUCAUGUAUCAGAUGAAAUAUUCCUUGAUCAACUUAGAAUAAAACAUCAGAGAAAGAUCAUAACAAAGUAACAAUUAGGCACAAAGACAACAUAGCAGAUGAAGCAAAGAGAUCCAAAGUCUUGCAUCAUAUGAAAGUCACUUAUCAAGAAUAGCUCAAUCUCAGAUGUUGGCAUUGUCAAGUCCUUUAGCAUAGGGAAAGCUGCCUAAUUCUAAAUCCAAAGCUCAGAUCAAAUCCUAACAGUCCAUCAAAUGUUUUUUUAGGGUUUUUGUUGUUAUUAGAUGUUUUAAGGUCCUAAGACCAUAAACAAGAUCAAAACACAUAAACAAAAUAUAUACAAUCACAAGAUAUGGCUCAAGUGAGUAAAGUGAAAGAAAAAAAAGACUUGAACAUAAACAAAUUACAUGAAAUGUAAAUGGCAAUGAAUGAUAAAUGACUGAAAAUUAAAAUUGCAUAAAGUAAAUGGCUUGAAAGUAAAAGCACAAUGAAUAAAAGUUAGUCAAUGGUUAGUCAAGAGUUAGUGUUGAGUUUUAAUUGAUUAAGUCAUUUUUUGGAGAACACUCAAUAAUUCAUUCACAAGUAUGGAUCCUUGAACCAAGACAUCAUCCAUGAGAAGGGAUCCAACUUGGAUAAUUCAACAAGUAUGCCACUAGCUCUCAUGAAAGGAAAAAAGGUCAAGUUUCCACACAAUGACAUGAAGAAUGGGAGACUUACAAUCUCACUUACUAGAAUGAUAUGCCUUGAGGGUAAAAUUUAGCUCUAUGUUAAGCAAUCCUAAUUGGACUUAUGUAGAAGUCACAACUACCUGAGACCGGACAAUAAAAAUAUAGGUGUUAAUGCAUGUUAGAGAUUUGGUACAAAGAACCAAACUCCUAAAACAUACCACACACUAAAAGAAAAUGGGAGGGACCUAUCUCAAUCAUACUGGUAUUGAUUCAUCUGACACAAGGUCAUUGAUGAAUCAAUUAUCAUUCAGACAUUAGAGAUUUCAUUGGUCAAAUGAGGGAAUAGGAAAGAAUAGUGAUGAAGAUGAAGAGGGGAGGGGAGAUAGAAACACAAAUUAAUCACGGGGGAAUGGGAAAAAAUAGGGAUGAAGAUGAAGAGGGGAGGGGAGAUAGAAACACAAAUUUAUCAUGAGAGGAUUUCCAUAUGAUAAAAACUAUCCAUUCAUUUUGGGAGAUGAAAUGUACAUUUCAUCAAUCCCCUAAGUCCAAUGGUUUUGAUCCAACAAAAGUCAAAUCAACCAUGACCAAGGCCCAAACAGAAAGUCAAACAACACAAGACCAUAAAAAUGGCUCAACAUAAUUUUUAAACAAUUAAACAAUUAAAAAUCAAUUUAAAAAUGAAUUUAAAUGCAUUUUAAUUUGAACAAAACCUCAAAUCCCUUCAAAAAACCAAAUAAAUGGCGAAGGGAUUUAUCCUAGGUCAAACAAGGUCAAAGGACCUUAGACAAAAAAUUUCAUGAUUUUUAAAAAGUCAAAAGUAUUUUUAAACAAUUAAAAAUAUGCACAAAAACACUCAAUUCAUGAAAAAUACCAAAAUUAAUCCAAAAAAUCAUUUAAACUCAAAAUGUGGAAGAGAAAAAUAUUUGAAUUUUUUUGGUGAAAGUCCAAUAUUUUUUGGAUUAAAAAUGUAUUUAUUAUGAAUUAAACAAAAUAAAGCAAUUAAAUGGAAAAUCAGAAAAUAUGAAAAAUCAGGAGCCAUCAGAUCAAGUGUGGUAUUUAAAAGAGACGGUCGAGAUUAGAACAUGGAAACCAAAUCAGAUGGCUAGGACUUUGCCAACGCACCACCGGAGCCCUAGCUCCAGUCAUCUUCUCUGGUGAACCUCAGCGGACUGGAUGAUCACCAACCAUCACCAAAAUGAAAAACAAGGACAUGAUUUUAAAGAAAAAAUGCUCAAGAGCUCGAAUCUGGCCUCAAUUUUGUCCAAUUCCAAGUUUAUUGAAAGAUACAUGGAUUUGAAUUUUUAGGAUCAUGAACUGAGUUGCUUCAAUUUGACCUCAAAGCAACUCAAUCUUGUUUCUUACAUUGGUAGAACUUCAACAAAUUAACAAUCAAUCAAAAUGGAUGAGAAAUGAGGGAGAAUCGAAGAAGAGAAGUUUCUGAAAUCUCACCAUCGGGGAGCUUCAAAUCAACUUGAUCUUGCUUCCAAUUUGGCUUGGCUUGACUCUAGAAGUUUGCAGGAGAUGAUUUUGAUGGUUAAAAAGCUUGGACUCUUGGAGUUUCAAUUCCAAAACAUAAUGAGAAUUGAAACUCGAUUUCUCAAGAAAUCUUCAAUAUUAUCCUUUCAAUGGUGUUCGGGGAAGAAGGGGGUCGAAGCUUGGGCAAGAGGAUCCACAUUUUGAUCACCAGGGUCAUGUAUUUAUAGCCAUGCUCAUUGCUUUUCACACACUUCAAAAAUUGGCCAAAAUUGGAAGGUGAAAUGCAUGCUUGCAUGGGUGUGUGAUAGGCCCAUGAGAUAAUGUAAUCAAGUCCAAAAAUUAUCAUGAGUAAUGUUGAAAGUCUAACAUGGUGCCAUGCAUUUGUAAUUGAGAAGUGAUCAUGAGAUUCUUCCAAAUGGAACCAUGAAGAGUAACCAUGUGCAAGUCAUUCAAACGUUGUCCAAAUGAAGUGAUUUUAGACUUUUUGGAAAGGUGACAUCAAGGGGAACAACUUUCAUGUUGAACAUGUUUCCAUUUGAAGCUUGGAUCAUAAUGAAUUUUGAGGUGCAAGUUUGAGAAACCAAACAUAAUUGAAAAUUUUCUAAGUACCAAUUCAAAUAUCCACUACUUCCACCUUGAAUAACUUUUGCUAUGAGCUUUAAAUGGAAAAUGUUCCUUCAUCAAAGUUAUAUCCAUUUCAAUCCUAUUCAAUUUGGUCACAAAUUGGACCUUAUUUGGAUUUGGCAUGAAGGAGUUAUGCAUUUUAGAAGUUGAGGAAAAUUGCUUGUUCAAUGGUAAUAGUCCAAAAUGACCUAUAAUGUUUCCUCUUGGCACAUGCUCUUGCAAGUUGAUUUUGACAUUUAUCAAAGAAUCAAAGUUGGAGAGGACAUAUUUAAAUGGAUCAUGAAACUUGUAUGGACUUAAUAUCAUAAAUAUUGAGCAAGUUAUGAUCCUUAAAAGUUGACCUCCUAACUAGGGCACAUACAAAAUGACCUACAAUCUUUCACCAUAAAAAAUGACUUUCCAAGCAAAACUAGCUCUUGACCUCAACAUGAAAGUUGUUUUUAAUGCCAUUAGGAGUAAUUUUUUUCUUGGAAUCAUUUUCAUAUGACAAAAAGUGUAGGAGAUAGGGUCUAGGGAACCCUAGUUUUGACUAAUUGACUUUCUCUGGUCAACUUCUUUGAACCAACUUGCAAACUUGAAGUUCUCUUGAUCUUUGGGACUCAUGGAGGAUAAUUGUUGAAGAAACUUACUGAGGAAGUCACACAAGAUACCCAGAUGAAUUAGGGUUUCUAAAGCCAGCAAGCUUCAAACUCUUGAUGAUUUCUUGAUCCAAAUGAUAAAUGAAGAACAUGGGGAUCCAUGUAUGAUGCCUAGAACCAUUUUGAACCAUCUCUUGAUUGAUCUCUUUACCCUGAGGGCCUCAAACCUUAGUUGUGAGCUUGAUGAGGUAUUGAUGGAUGCAUACACUACCUACAAAAGAAACAAAGCUAUACAUGGACAUAUUUUUUGGUACUUUGGUUAGUAAACAAAGAAAAAAAAGUAUGAUACAAUCAAAUGUGCUUGGUGAUCUCACCCAAUGCAAACCCUUUAAAUGAAAGGUAAGGAGGAUGCCAAGGUGUGAUCCCAAAGCCAAUUCAUAUGAUGAGAUAGCAUGAGGGAUCUUAGGGUCAAAAGUAGGGUCUUACAGCUGCCCCUAUUUAAGGACAUUCUAACUGAGGAUGUGAAGGUUUAAAUCUUCGUAUCAAAUCAGUAGAAUGGACUUAAAUAACAACAUCUAAAAACAAAUUUUGGUCCCUAAGAGACCUAAUGAUGCAUAUGAUAUGUAUGUAAAAAAAUAAUCUUUGUGGGGAAUAUAUUACCACGAAGGAAAAGAAUCCUGAGAGACUGAAAAUCCAUAAGAGUAUAAGGCAUUCCGCAAGGAAAACUCACUAAGGAGACAGAGACUAUGGGGAUACAAAGUUAUGUGUAGGAAAGACUACGACUUAAAAACUGCUGGAAGCAUGAGGGAUUUUCCAUGAAAAUAAAUCAAUGGAAGUACUCGACCCGGGGACAAGGUUAUCUUUAGGGGAUGACGACUUCUCUGAGGAAAUACACGCUCAAAUUCAACCGAGGAAGAACGGACUUCAACACAUGAGUAAAAGAGAUGUAUUAUCUACUAUCGAUUAUUGGGUAAGAAGAUCAAUACACUCGUACAGAGGGACAUCCGCUACCGGUUAGGGUAAAUAUAUCAAGGAUGACUCGUUGAGGAAAAAGAGGUGUAUUCAUUACCAGUUACUGGGUCAGAGUAACCUACCGGGGAGAAAAGAUCAAAUAUGAUUUAUAACUACCUGCUACUGGGCAGAAGAUCGAAAGAGAGAGUAUCCGUCAAUGAUUAAAGUGAACAUAUCAAGGAUAAACUCAAAGGGAGAAUAUCCAUCAUCGCUUAGGAUAAACAUAUCAAGGAUAGACCACCUGGGGAAAGAGGAAGAAUAUUCGUUACAUGUUAGGGUAAACAUAUCAAGGAUAAACUGUCGGGGAGAAAUAGGAAAUACAACUAUCGGUUACUGGGUAGAAGACCAAAGAUAGAGAAUAUCCGUCAUCGCUUAGGAUGAUCAUAUCAAGGAUAGAAUCAGCAGAGGAAAUGGUAUUUACAACCAUCAGUUACUGGGUAGAAGACCACAAAAAUAGAGAGAAUCUGUCACUAGUUAGAGUGAACAUAUCAAGGAUUAAUUCUGAGGGGGGAAACGUAGGAUUUAUAUCUACCAUUUACUGGGCAGAAGACCGCAAAGAGGAGAAAAUCCGUCACAGGUUAAAGUGAACAUAUCAAGGAUUAACUCUCUAGAGAAUGAAAGCAGGGAUAACUACUACCUUUUUACUGGAUAGAAAACCAAAAAGGAAGAAUAUCUGUCACCAGUUAGGAUGAACAUAUCAAGGAUAAACUUACCGGGGAAACGUGAAAACGAAUCCGCUGGGAAAAAUAAAGAAAGUAGAUUACAUUUUACCGGAUAUUGGACAAAAGUAACAUACUCAACAUCAAGAAGAAUAUUACCAGUUACUGGGUAAUAAACUCUUGGAGACCAAAAGAUCUAUCUAGGUAAGAACUAGAAAGAAACGGUUAAACAAAGACUCAACCCAAUGAGGAUAUAACUCAAGGGGAGUGGUUCCAUCCAGAUAAUAAACUAGGGAGGAAACUGAAAUAAUAAUCAUCCACGAGGAAAUAACUCAGUGGGGAAUGAGAAAGGAUAAGCUCUUUUUGCUUAAAGGGUUGGCACUCUACAAUUGAAGAAGGACAAACACGCCAAAUCUGCAUGGAAAAAUAAUAUCACCAAAGCAGGGGAUCAGAAGGAAAUCAAUGCGAUAAAAUGCAUAAUGAAAUAUCCGAUGUUAUAUUUUCUACAUGAAUAUGCAUGUAUAUGAUUAUGAUUAUGCUGACGAAACAACACAAAGGAUAUAAAUAACAAAUAUUUGAAUCAUCUCUAUAACACUCCGCUAAUCUCAACAAGAGGGAAACACCAACUGGAGAAUAUGCUAAUGACGAAAAUAAAUCAUCUAGCUUUGAAUAAAUCAACUCUGACUGGGGAAAGACAGGGAGAACAUGUUUCCAAUCAAUCAUGACAAACUCCAUGGGGAGAAGAGAGCACUAUUGGAGGAUGGUCAACCAAUCAUGCCGAAGAUAGGGAAGGAUCUGCUAAGGAUCCAAACAAAUCAACACUACGGGGGAAUUUUAAGUCAACACCAUAUCAAAUGGCAGACAAUCUUUCAGAGGACGAAAAAUCAAAAUAUUGCUCAGAACCAGUUACUGCCGAAAAAAGAUGGAACUUCUAUCAAAAGAUGGACUUCGCCGGGGAAUACGAGGGAUAAAACUCUGAAUGAGGAAUCGAGAAACUGUUGGGGAUGUUGUGACAAAGACCAUCACACUUCCAAUGAUAAUCAAAUUCUUCUUGGAAAUUACAAAAUAAACCAAUUCCAAAGCAAAGAUAACCCGAUCUGACUCACCCUGGGGAGAAACUGUCGUGGUUAUGCAACACAAUUAAAUGCAAAUGGGGAUCUGGAAACCAAAUAAAGGUUCCGGAGUACCCAGGGUACAAUCAUCAAGUCACAAACUAGGGAAUGCAAAAUAUGAACAUCUCAGCUAGGGAACAUGAAUUUUGCAAAGGGGACCAAUCAUCAGCUCAACUCUAGUGGGGAUGACAAAUUACUCGAGGUGAAACUUAUUAACCAUGUUGGGAACAAAUGAUGAACUGUUAGGGAGGAAAAAGUUACCAAACCAACUGUCUAACAAUGCUUCGCACUUCAAGACUUACAUGUUCUUAGAUUGUUGUUGACAUUCCUUGCUGAAAUUGAUUAUUCUUAAAGUGAAUGUUUUUAUUAUUUUAAGAAAAAUAACUAUUCAUUAAUUUAUUUCAAUAUUAUCAUCAUAAAAAUUCAAUUUUAUUUAACAAAAAUAAAUAAGAGUAGAAAUAAUUGGAUAAAAGCUCAACUUUAUUUAAUAGAAUGGUAGUCCACGAAUGGCGGGACUCUAUGGAUCUUUACAAAGUUUGACAAUAGUAAUUUACAUGGAAAAGGGCUACAUUGAAUACAAUGAUCGCUACUCUCCCUACCAACUUUGAAACCCGCUGUGCUCUUGUCUUUGGUUGAGAAUGACGAAUCGGGACCAAAUGACUGCUUUUCAAAAUUGCUUCCAAGAUCAGGAAUAACCGGAUGCAGUUACAUGCCAUAAUCCUUAGUUUUGCCUAUAUUGCCCCAAGGUUGGGUACUCAAUCUACCGGGAUAAAUUUUCUGUUUUUAUGUCUCAACUUUUUCCUGGAUUGCCCUUUCGGGUUUUCAAUCCACCAAGACGCUCAUUUUUGCCUAAGCCUCCCUUUCGGGUUUUCAACUUAGCGAGUUGUUCUUUUCUUUUUAGGCAGAGUAUUUCUUGACUGCAUCGGCAUUCAUAGGACGAGUGAACUCUUCACCAUCCAUAGUUGUAAGAAUCAAAGCACCGCCUGAAAAGGCUCUCUUAACAACAUAUGGGCCUUCAUAAUUAGGAGUCCAUUUGCCCCUAGCAUCAGGUUUGAAAGAUAGAAUCUUCUUGAGCACGAUUUCACCUUCUCGAAACACACGAGGCCUGACCUUCUUGUCAAAAGCUUUCUUCAUUCUCUGCUGAUAUAAUUGACCAUGACACAUGGCAGUCAAUCUUUUUUCUUCUAUCAAGUUCAACUGGUCAUAUCUGGUCUGACACUAUUCAGCUUCAGUCAACUUGGUUUCCAUGAAAACACACAAUGACGAGAUCUCAACAUCCACGGGGAGCACAACUUCCAUACCAUAAACAAGAGAGAAAUGGUUGCCCCUGUUGAAGUGCGGACGAAUGUACGGUACCCAUGCAAAGCAAAUUGAAGCAUUUCAUGCCAAUCUUUAUAUGUCACAACCAUCUUCUGAAUGAUCUUCUUAAUAUUCUUAUUCGCGGCUUCGACAACCUCAUUCAUCUUGGGCAACUCACUUUGUCUUCUCUACACAUCAUUUUCCAAUUUUCAUGUCAAAAAGGAACCACCAUCGGAGCUCCGGUACCACCGCAUCGGAGGUGGCGGAGUUGGCCGGAAUCAAGAAAAAUCACUAUCUUCCUACUCCUCUCAAUCUCUUCUAUCCUAAUUUAUCAUCUAUUAUAACUACAAGUUAAUCAAUUCUGGAAAUUGAGCCAUUAAAGUCAAGAACCAUAAACAUAAAAUCUGAAAUUAAAUGGAGAUGGGGAGAAUCAAACCACCAAACCUUGGGGUUUUGAUUUUCCACUACAUAAGCUACAUUGUGGUAUCAAAAAUUCAACAAACAAACAAUGACAAAAAUUCACCGAUCUGCAAGAUCGGAGCUUUGUCCUUGGAAUUUGGUGUUGGAGAUGAAGAAGAUGAAGUGAAAACCAGAGGUUUGCUACUCUGAACCUUUAAUCUUUUACUUCUACUAUGAAUUCCUUCUCUUCAAGAAUCGACUUUGAAAAAUUCUGAAUUGAAUUGUUGUUGUUGAUGUUGAUUAUGUGAAUGUAGGAAUGAUGUUGAAUGCAAGGGGUUUAGCUUAAUUUGAGAUUUGGUGUAGGGAGAGGAAUUGGAGAAGAUGAAGUGAGAGAGUGAAGGUUGAAUUUGCAAUGAGUGAUUUUGAGAGAAUGAUCAAGUUCUGAUUUUUUUGGUGUUAUGAGAGUGAUGUGUUUAUAUAGGUUAUAAGUUUGGACCAAAUGGAGGUUCGGAGUCAGUUUUGUGAGGCUUGGAAUUGGUUAAAUGAGGCUUGGAGUAGUUGAGGUGGUUUGGAAUUUGGUUUGGGACUGUUAUGAGUAACUCACAAAUGUUGAGAAGUUUAGUGAGUUGAAGUGUUAUGAGCGUUGUUCAAUGCAUGAAUGAUAUGGUUGGUUGCUGCAUAAUUAUGUAAAGGUUGCAAUGUGUAUUGAUGCAAACAUUGGGACUGGUUUGGAGUGCAAAGAAAACUGUAUUACUGCUGAAAAAUGCAACAUUUUGGCUCAUUGUCCCGGGUGUAACGGUUACCUGAAACGUGUAAUCGGUUACAUGCAAAAAAAAGUGAAAAUUAUAUUGAUGUACUCGGUUACCUGAAACAUAUGCAGAAAAAAAUGAAAAAUAUGUUGAUGUAACCGAUUACCUGAAAUAUAUAACCAAUUAUAUGAAGAAGACAAUAAAAAAGAUAUGUUGAUGUAACCGGUUACCCGAAACGUGUAACCGGUUACAUGAAGAAAAAAAUAGUUUUUUUUAGAUAAAAUUUUUUAAUCUCUAUUUUAUUAGGUGAAGUUUUUUAUAACUUAAAAUAGUUUUUUAACCGAAAAAUAAUAUAUUAAUAAAUGAAGACAAUAAUAUAUUAAUAAAUAUGGACAAAAAUAGUCAACAAAACAUAAGAAAGUAUAUUUUGAAUUAAGAUUUUCUUUUUCAAAUAAAGAGGAUUUUUGGGGGAAAAGAAAUCAAAGUCCAUCAUUUAAAAAAAAUCUAUUUUUCAUAACUAAAUUAGGUGAGAAUGCAAGUUUUGUUUUGUGCAAUGAAGAAGAUAGAAAUGCUUUAACAUGGUCCCAAAUAGCAAAUACAGGAGACAGAGAUCUGUUUCCCCUCAUAUAUAGACAAACUUGCCAUCACAACAAUACACAGAUAACUACUUAUUUAUUACUUUGAACCCUACAUCUAUUAUUUUAUUGAUUACCAACUAUCAAAUCAUUCGCAUUUUUCUCCAAAAUUUGAGUAAAUUAAUGCAUGGCUUUCAUUGUUUGUACUUAUUAUGUAUAACAUUAUUUUAUUUUACUUUUUUGAAAAAGGUAUCAAUAUACUAGUACAUACUUUUAAAAUUAAAUGAUAUGCAUUUGAGUGUGUAUAUAUACAUUUUUUCUGCAAAUAAACUAUUUGUAGCGCAGUAACAAGUCGUUUCUCUUUUUAGUUAAAGGGGUUUGACUCUUCCAAUUGUCAUUUUUUAUUGUUUUAUUUGUGAAAAAAUAUGUCUUGUUAAAAUAAUUGUUAUGUUUAAAAUGAUAUAUUUGUGUAAACAAAUUCAGAAAAAAUAGAAAUGUUAAGUUUCAGUUAUUUUUUAAUAUCAUUAUAUUAAAAAAUAUAUGAUAUUAAUUUAGUAUUCUAUUUUAUUUCUAUCACAAUUAUUUAUUUCAAUAUUCUCAUUUUAUUUUAUGAACUAAUUAAAAUAAACAAAUAUUCAGAAAAUUAAAAUAAAAUAUACUUUUACCAAAUAAACGAAGUUUUAAUUUAUUAUAACAAAAUUAAUGAUAGUUGAGUAUAAGAAAAUGAGCUAAGCUUAUAAAAAUGUGUGAUGAAGUAAAGUUCCAAUCUAGACUUAAAAAAACGCAUUAAAUAUUUGAUAUGUAAUCUAUUUUAAAUAUGAUGAUGUCUAGUGAAAAAAAUGCAUAAAACAUAAAAUAAAAUUUACUAAAGCCGGUAAAAUUAAAAGUGUCCAUUAAUGAAUAAACGAGCAGGGACAUCUUUAGAAAAUAUUGGAACUUGAAGGCAGUGUUGAAUAGAGACAUAUCCAUCAUUCAUGCAAUUGAAGAAUACUUGAAUUUGAUGACUUUGUUAGCCAUAAAAAAAAACAGUGAUCCGAGUAAAAACUAUAACCCAUAAAAUCAUGUUAUCUUAGAUAGAGAUGUCAACUUGGCGGAACGUGUGUAUUUCUGUUCCAACUAAUUUGUUUCACAUGCAAUUUUUUUAAAAGGAUUUAAUUACUUAAUUCAUAUUAAUAAUCAAGAUUAUACGAAAAUAGAAGGCAUAUAGACAAUAAACUGCAUCGUUAUUUUUUUAAUAGUAAAAUUAAUCUUUUUAAAAAUUAUUUUUAUUUUUUUAUGAGAUACAAUAUUGAUAUACACAAGUCUUUCUACUCUCGGUAAAAGACUCAUUGUUUCUAGUGUUAGGAAAUCAAAAUUGUCAAAGACAAAUGGAAUGCAAACAUGAUUUUCGAAACACAUUUUUUUUCUUCAUAUUUUGCCACUUUACUUGAAACGGAUUUGAGAACUGCAUUUCCCCCCGUAAAACCUCUAGUCUUCUGUCCCAACAGUGGAGAAACCUCAGUCAAGUCUACAAAUGCAUAUUUUUCUUCUGCUCACUCGUACACCAGAACAUCUGCUGAUAUAUGGACGAGUCAAGAAAUUUGCAGACGACUCUUUCUUCACAUAUAUCCCGACACACAUAAAUAUAUCAAAUAAGACAUCUCUAACAAAGUCGUCGGUAUCGGUAUUUGAAUUCUCGAAGUUUCAUAUAAUGGAUGGUGUGUUUGAUUUUGUAGGAUUGGCAUGAUCAAGACUUUGUGUUGGUUAACGGCACAAAGCAUGGCAGUCACGACUCUAACACUUGUAUGUUCUGGAGAAACUCAAGAGAUGGAAUGCGGAUAUACAUGGUGUACUUAUUGAUUUUGGCUUAUUGAACAUUUUGUACUGAAACAGCUGUUUGAGCUACGUUUUGUACUCGAGUAAAUUUGAACAAAUCUUGAAUCCGAUUUCUUUAACUUGAAUGAACAUUUCUGUCAUGCAUCGCAUAAACCAAAGACUAAGAUAUCCCCUAGUAACCCCAAUAUCCAAUAUCAUGAUGAAAUCAAUACAACUACCAAUGUAUACCACGGAUUGGAGUCCCAUGUGACUUGAUCCAUAAGGAACGAACCAACCAAUGUUGUUGUGUCGGUACCGCUUUAGUAAAACCUUUGAAUUAAUGAUGUUUAUUUAAAAAUACAAUUGUAAAUGAAUGUGCUAUGAUGGAUGAAUAUGUAGAUGCAAUGGGAAAUAAGCCAGACAAAAACUACAAAAGGUAGGGAAAUUUUGGGGUACGAAAGAAUGCACAAUGAUGAUCAGGUUUAUACCACCAUGAAAGUUCCUUUGGAAAAGCUGGCGGAGUUCUAGUCUGACCAAAUUCUUUUGUAUCAAAGCAGGAAGUAAUUCCACAUAGGACAUCAGAAUUGGAUCAAAUUGCGCUUGUCUUGGGACACGAUUCUGUUGAUGAUUCUGUUGAUGGGUACGUUGUUGAAAACAUGGUUGAUAAUUCGGUGCUACUUGAACAACUGGAGCAAGAUUAAUAAUCGGGGUAUCUGAUGACACUGAUUUCUUCUCGGAGAUCUUCUACGCAUUUCUUGCAAAAUAGCAUUAGCAUCAUGUUCCUUCUUCUUGGGCAAAUCAUUCCCAUACUUCUUGGAACUGCUAGAUGAACCACUCUCUUUCACCAAUCAUCCCUCACAGGCACCUUCUUCUAACCUCAUCCCCAUGUUUACCAUCUCAGUAAAAUCACUAAGAGCACUUGCAACCACUCUGUCAUAGUAAAAUAGACUCAAAGUCUUCAUGAAAAGCUUUGUCAUCUCUUACUCUUCUAACGGAGGACUGAAUUGUGUGGCAAUCUCGCGCCAUCUUUGUGCGUACUCUUUGAAAGUUUUCUUAUCCUUUUGGGACAUAACACAGAGUUUAUCUCGGUAUGGCGCCAUGUCAAUAUUAUACUUGUACUGACGAACAAAAGCUUCACCAAGAUCGUUGAAAGUAUGGAUCUGGGUGCUAUCAAGUCCCAUGUGCCACUUCAAAGCAGCACCGGUCAAACUGUCUUGAAAGUAAUGAAUUAAUAGUUGAUGGUUAUCAAUUUGAGUCGACAUCUUGCGAGCAUACAUCACCAAAUGACUCAAAGGACAAGAGUUGCCCUUAUAUUUCUCGAAAUCUGGAACUUUGAACAUAUGAGGAAUCCUGACAUUAGGAACUAAGCAAAGAUCAUGAGCGUUCUUUCCAAACAAUUAUUUUCCCCUCAGACCUGAAUCUCUUUAUGCAUUUCUUAAAACUGAUCUUGAAAUCCAGCCAUCCUUUCAUAGACACCAACAUUGUCACUUUGAUCAGCAUGGAAAACAGGUUCUUCCACAUAAGGAAUAGCAUGGACCACGAGAGGUGGUACAAACAUAACAGGUUGAGCAACAAGAACUUCAAUAGCUGGUUGAUAUCCUUCUAGCAUAAAGUUGGGAGGCAUUCCCCAAUGGAAACUCGGAGGAAAAUGGUGUUGCAGAGCACUGACCAAAGCCAAGGAAAUGGACGUAUAAGUGAUUUCAGGAAUCACAGUCCUCUGAAGCGGAGUCCGAGGAGGAGGAGGAGGACGAUGAUUCUAAGCAGCCACUAGAGCUUCCAUUAUGGAAGAGAGCCUUUCAAAACUAUCCUCCAAAGUAGUCACUUCUUCGCGGAGUUCACGAUUCUCUUUCUAUAAAUGAUCCAUCUUCUUAAGUUGAUUAGCACAACUGUUGUACUAGUGAGACGGCUUAUCUGAACAAAGACCAAGAAAAUAAAUAAGACACAUGGAAAACUCACAUAAAGCAAUACCAAGAUGCAACAUGAUGUUUAAUAUGCAAAUGCAAAUGAAAAAAAAUUCAAGGAACUUUAAGAUAUAAAGCAAAUUGCAAACAUCAUAAAGGAAAUAACAUGUUUUAAAAUACUGAAAAUUUCUUUUUAUUAAAAAUGUGAAGGAUUACAAUCUGAAAUACAAUAUCAAUAAUCCUAAAACAUAAGCGGAAAGAAAUUAGGUCUAUGGAAUCAUAUCCGAUGCUGACCCAACUCUAAGUUGAUACUUCUUGCAAAGUCUUUUGAUCUCUCUUUUAUGGUUUCUCUUCAUGGUAUCCUUCUCCAUCACGAGUUGAUCUACAAUGCCUUUCCAAACACCGGAAGUAGGAAGAUGAGUAGAUGAUGAAAGAUUAGAGGAAAAUAAAUCCUCUUGGUUCCUUUACCUCUUCACAGCAUGUUACUCAAGUAACUCUAUCAAAUCACCAUUUUCCUUCAACUGCUUCUGCAAUUCUAUCUUCUCGAGGUUUGAAGCGUGAAACUUGUCUUCCCAAGCCUCUUUCUCUUGCUUCAUCCUAUCCAAAUCUUCUUGCAACUCCUUUAUGCCUUUAAUAUGAAUAGUGGAUGGUUUGUCCACUAAUAAAGACUUAGGUCUCUCAUAAGCGUAAGGCAUAUUGAAUUAUUUUGCUCUCUUCUUCAUCCAACUAGUGUAAGGCUCCAGAGCUACACAAUUCUUCAAUCCAAGCUCACUUUCUCAUUUCCUAUGAAUAUUGUGCCAAACAUGCAUAAUCCUAGCCUUCAAUCCUUGAGUGCAUUUCCCUUCUUGGAAAAAUAAACCUUCUAACAAAGUUUUAUUAGAUUUAUCCUUCAUAGAGAACCCAAGUUGACGUCUUGCCAGAGCCGGAUUGUAGUUGAUUCCUCAUGGUGUACCAAGAAGAUGCACAUUAGAGAACUCCCCACAACUAUCAAUAUUAUUGAUGUUGUCGUAAAUAGAAGAAUACCAAGCGAUGUCAUCAUUUGUGAGAGACAUAAGUCUUUGGGACCACAUUAAACAAUUCUUGUUUUCUAUGAAGACAUGAGAUUGCGACAAGUGAGAAAUAAACCACUUGUACAACAAAGAUGCACAACAGGUAAUAAUUUUUUUCCCUUAGAAGUCCUAUGAUGAAUGGAGAAAUAGGUCUCACCAAGAAAAGCUGGAACAGGAUUCCCAACCAAAAAGAUCCUAAUAGCCUUAACAUCAACAAAAUUAUCAAUGUUGGGAAAUAAGACCAAACCAUAGAUGAGUAAGGCAAGAAUAACUUUAAAGGCCACCAUGCUAUCAGCAUUAGAAAAAGAAAAGGCUUUCUCAAUUAGAAAUUUUGAAGUUAACCCUCUGAUACCUCCUUUGACAGUAAAAAAGUAACAUCGGCGUCAGAUUUCCUCAGGUGAAUAGCUUCAGCAAUAACUUGAGACUCCAAAAUCCCCUCUAAGCCACAACAAGAAACCAUAUCAGAAACUUGUAUACCUAAAAGAUAAGCAUACUCCUCUAUGGUGGGCAACCACUGAUAAUUGGGGAAAGUUAAGCACCGUAGACGGGAUAGUAGAACUGAACCAUACUACAAAGAAGGCCAUAUUUAACAUCAGUAGAUAGAAUAGACGAAAGUCUUCCAAAACGGUCUCUGAAAUCUUUAGGAUCAUCCAUAAAAUAUGCUAGCUUUCUCAAUUCCUUUAGAUCAGGACAUUUGAAACUGGAUUUUCGAGUAUUCCUUCUUCCAAUAUCCAUGGUCAAAAUAUUUGCGAUGUUUGCACAGAGAAUCUCUAAGUUCCUUGAAAAUUGAGAAAAAUGUUCAUGAAUGAAAUGAGUGCAUGAUGCAACAACCACAAACAAGAUUACACAAGGAACACAAGCAACGUCAAGAGGUUCUGAGUCACGAGCAUGGAUCCAAUGGUAAGAACAAAACCACAAUGUAUGUACUAAGGGUAUAAUCACUUGUAGAACAAGAUUCUAAAAGGUUCGCAAAGUCAUAAUUCCAUCUUUCGGAUAUUAUCAGCUUAAACAACUACUCGCCAACCAAUAAUAUUCUAAGAAAACUCCGAGUGUAGUAUCGCGUAACAACUAAUUCAAGUAUACACCUAAAUAGCCACUGCGCUACGUCCUAAAAGGCCAAGAUGGGUUAAGGGUUCUAAGGUCCUCAACGUCUCGGGCUCGCAGGUCGGAAAAAGUAAUGUCAAUCACGAAUAUUUGUAAGACAUCAGUAAUCCCAAAGGGGAUUAUACUGAGCGGGGGAUCUCAAGUCAGCUCAUUAAGGAUUAACUCCACGUAAGCCAAACAAGACUAUACCACCCUCCUAUCAUAAGAGCCCUCAAGUCCGGGUAUAAGACUUAUCUCACCACACAGAGAUCACCAAGCACCGGAUAGAACAAAAAAUAACAAACAAAAAAACAUAAUAUAUAUAGAGAUAAAUAAAGAUAAGUUAAACCCAUUGAGGACUACUCGCCAUCAGAGUCGCCACUUUUCAGUAUCGAUAAAUUUUUUGAGAUUAAGUUAUUGAUUAACUUAACUCACAAAGGAAAGGGAAAAAGAACGAACAAAACCCAAAGUAAAAUGAAAGAUCAAAACCUCGUAUUUUGUGGUAAAAAUAAUAAAGAUGUUUAUUUUGAUUCAUUUUUAAUGGAAAGACAUUUUGUCAUUUUAAGGAGAAUACUCAACUAGCCACCAUGAGAAGGGUUCCUACUUGGAUAAAGAUCAACAAGUAUGCCACUAGCUCUCUUAAGAGGAAAAGAAUUAUCAUCAAUACUAUGGGGAUAGGAGAAUUAUAUCUCAACUAUGAAAAUGGCUCAUGUCUAAACUUUGAGGAAACAAUUUUAAAAGAAAAAGAUGCACAAAGGGCACAAAAUAGUUUGAACGAGUUCAUGCAUUUUAUAAGUUUUUUGAAUAUGGUUUGAAUAUGCUUAAGAUGUAUUAGCAUUUUAUUAAGAAAAAUAUUUUGAAAAUCACUUGACAAAAGUCAAGGUUUAUUAAGAAAAUGGUUCAAGUUUUAAAAUAUGAAGGUUUUGAAAAAAAAGAGAAGAUUUUGAAAAUUGAAGAAGGAGAGGAGAAAAAAAGACCAUCCUAGAGCAUAAAGUAAAAGCUAGGGAGGAAAGAUCUAACCUAGAGAAAGAAACCUUUGUGACAUAAGUCAAGCAAGAAUUCCCUCCUUUGGAUUAAGCUUUAAGCAAGCUAAAUAAGCAAAGAAUAAUUCAUGUAUCAGAUGAAACCAAAGAUAACCAAGCCAAGUAUUCAAAAGAAGUCCAAAGUCAAAGGUACCAUAUGAAUCUCAAGGCCUCAAAACACAAGUUCCCAAAGAAAAGGUCAGGAUGAAAGUCCAUGAAUCAAGAUAACCAAUUUCUUUUUAGGGUUUUUCUUUUAUUAAUGUCUUUUAAAAGAAAAUGAAAGUCCAAAAGGACAAAGGACAAAUAACAUAAGUAGAAACAAUAUGAUAUGCGAUGCUAAAUAUAAAAGUAUAAGGUAAAUGACAAAAGAAUAAAGAUCAUAAGAUAAAUGACAUUAAAGUAAAAUUAAUACAAUAAUAUGUUAGUAAGUAAUGUUAGUGAUCAAAAAUAGAAAAAUGAUUUGUCAGUUUUUGGAGAACACUCAACUAUUCACCCACAAGUAUGACAAUAUGGACCUCUACAUCACCUAUGAGAAAGGCUCCAACUUGGAUAAAAUCAACAAGUAUGCCACUAGCUAUCAUAAGUGAAAAUGAGACAAUGUUUUUCCCACAAUACCAUGAGGAGUAUGAGACUUACAAUCUCACUUAUGAAAAUGACUUGCUUUCAGGACAAAUUUAGUGUUAUGUUAAGCAAUUGUAAUUGGACUUAUGUAGAAGUCACAACUAUUUAUGACUGGUCAAUAAUAAUGUUUGUGUUAACACAUACUAGAUAAAUGAUAUGUAAAUCAUUCUCCUAAAGUUAUGCCACGCAAAAAAAGAAAAGAGAAAGGAUCAAGCACAAAGGCUAGGAGAGUGUAAAAUUACAUCAAUCAAUACUUCAUGAUACUUAGGACAAACUUAUGCAUCAAUCCAAAGUACCUUAAAUGAUCCAUGAUAAAUUAGGAGGUAGAUUUGAAAAUGAUGAAAGUUCAUCAAGCACCAAUCCACACAUCAUGAACAAGAUGGACACAAACCAUCCAAUUGAUCCAGGAGAAAAGAAAGAGAUAAGGAAGAAGAGGACAAGAGAGAUUACACACAAAUUGGAUCAAAGCAUUUAUCAGGUCAUCAUUAAAAUCAAUCAUCCAUUUUGGUGGAUUAGGGUUUUCACCCCAUCAACACCGAAGACCCAUUGAGUUUGAUGAGACUUAUGAUCAAAACAACCAUGAUCCAAUGCCAACAGAAGUCAACAAAGGUCAAACAAAUAUAAAAUGCAAUAAAAUAAAAUAAAAUGCAUCAAAAAUAAUUAUAAAAUGAAUUUUAAAAGGGAAAUAAAAGAGAAAAUCCAUAAAGCCCUUCAAAACACCAAAUAAAUUGCCAAGAAAAUUAUGGAAGGUUGGAAAUAAAAUAAGCAUAAGAUAAAUUUUUCAGAAUUUAAAAAUGCAUAAAAGUAUUUUUAAACCAAUCAAAAUAAAGGAAAAAAGAAAAAAUCCAUGAAAAAUAGAAAAUUAAGAAAAUAAAAUAUGUGAUCGUGACUUAGUAAGUCUAUGGGAAUCGUGACUGCAAGUGCACAGUCCUAUCGCGUAGUUUAAAAGAUUAUCGAACCCACGAGGACUAAUAAUCGAACGUAUCGUUAUCUAAUGUUACUAUGCAAAUCUAAGGUUGAUGAUCGUUCUAAGAUCGGAGGGAUGAAGAGAAAUAACUAUAGCGUAAAUAGAAUAUUAAUAAGGAUAUGCGAUAAAGGGAUAUCGGUAUGUAACGCAUCAAACUUCGGGGAUUCGAUAGAUAUUUGGUGUAAUCUUAUUGGAUAAAAUAUUCUUCAGUAGAAAUUAUUUAUAGAAAGGACUUAGUCUCACACUCUCGUUUUUAUUGACUCUGACCAUACUCCUAAACCAGAAUGAUUGGCUCUCGCGGUCUCAUUUUGAAUUUAAAAGUAAUUUUUGAAUAUGAAUAAAGUCUAAUUAAUCCUAAAGCGCUCUCGCUGUGUUUAGGAUUAAUGUCUAGUUUCAGCUAUCUGGUUAAAAUCUCAAAGUCUCGUUCUUGUUGACCGUAACCUUAGUUUGUUUUGUACUCUCGUACGAAAAACAAUUUAAUUAAAAUAAGAAACUAAAAACCGGAAAAAUAAGUUUUAUAAAAACUAACACCAAUUAUUUACGAAUCCCGUCGUUCCGACGGUCUUUACAUACCGAUACCUAAGGAUUUAGCCGGACAUGAAUCCGGUAACAGACAUGGUAUUUGAAAAUCAAACAUACAAUAAGGCAUAAAUAAUUAAAUUAGCAAUCAAAAUAAAACCUAGAUUACGAAUAGAGAACUGGAACCGAAUUUUGAUUAUUUAAUUAAAAUAAUUUCGACAGACUUUGGCAAUGAGUAACCGUUACAAUUGAAUUCAAAUGCGUAAAAUAAAAUGCAAUAGUCCCCGAUGUGGAGAAACUAUCACUGUUACAAAGUAGGAAAACUGCCUCGGAAACUAAAACAAAAAUAAAUCUAACUAAAAAAUUAAUCGUCGAUUGAAAGCUGGAAGAAGAGAGAGAGACGGUUGAAAAACUAAACUCCUUUAUAUAUUUUCCACUCCCCUAAAUUGUAGCCAAAGGUGAGUGGAUUCGUGGCUAAAAUCAUGGAGAAAUAGUAGGGAAGACUAGGUUGUGGCGGUUGCCACAACCCUAGUCCUUGACUCUGUGACGAGCGCCACAAAUUUAUGAUUGAGUACCACAAACUCUUCAUGCUUGGUGGUAAAUCAUGGAGAAAUAGUAGGGAAGACUAGGUUGUGGCGGUUGCCACAACCCUAGUCCUUGACUCUGUGACGAGCGCCACAAAUUUAUGAUUGAGUACCACAAACUCUUCAUGCUUGGUGGCGAGCGCCACCGCCCUCUUUUGUUCAUGUGGAAGGCGCCACACAUUCAGGUGAUGGGCGCCACAGGCCCAUUUAGUGUGGUGGCCCAUUAUCUCUAUUUUUCUCCAUUUUCUUCUCUUUUUCUUUCCUUUUUGCUAUUUUCCACUUUGCUUGCUCGUAAACCUUUUAUUCGAUAAAUACUUGCAAUAAACAUAAAAUACUAUGUAAUAAUAAGUGUUAAUCAAAUAAAAAGCAAUGCAUAUGAAGCCAAAAAUACGAUACGUUUUCGCGUUAUCAAUAUGAAAAAUAAAAAUCAGAUGAAGAAUAAUAAAAGAGAAUUUUAGAAAUUAUUUUGGCAUUUUUUGCAUUUAAAAUGAAUUUUAUAUGAAUUUUAAAAGAAAAUGCAAUUUAAAAUGAAAAAAGAAAAAGAUAUAAAAUCAGAAGAAAAAAACUGGAGCGUUUGAUCUGGCCCCAUUAAUUGACGUGGCAGAUCCAACAAUACUCAGGCUAGCGUGCACGAUGGAAAUUCAUCAAAAUAAAACACGGGAUCUAAUUCAAAAUGGACCAAUUAGAACAAUUCAGAUUGCCAACGUGUCUUGCCAAACUCAGAUGACCUGAAACACUCCGGUCAUCUUCCCUGAUGAUCCCUCACCGGAGUUUCAUCAUUUAGUAAAUUCAUAACACAAGACCACCACCAAUGUGAUCGCCUCCUCAUCACGAAUUCAACCUCAUGCUCCAAAUUUAUUUAUAUAAACUAAGCAUUAGAAAUUUCAGAGAAGCAUCAGAACCAAGCAAGCCAUGAAAACUAAAAUUAAACGAUGAACACAAUCAAUCAACACCAGAUAAGUUAGGGGAAAGAAUCAGAGAGUGAAGGACUACAUUAUGGUAACUUGUUUGAUUCAAAUGAUGCUCAUAACUACCUUGUCUAGAUGGUAAUCAGAAGUUGAUGAAGCUCGAUCUGGUUAGAGCACUUCAGAAGGUCCUAGAGCUCAGGAAUUGUUGCAAAAGCUUUAGAGAAGACCGAAGAUGCUAAUGGAAUCAAGAAAUUAGAUUGAAACAAACGGAAAUUCAAAACAUGAUAGUUAAAUUUUCUGGAAAAAUUUCAGAGUGAAACAGGGGUUUCAUGGAUCUCAAAAGCUUGAAAAUGAAUGCAGUAGCUUCCUCUAUUUAUAGGGAAUGUAUUAGGAUCCAAAUAUGUAUGGAAUCAAGCUUAAUUCGUGUAAAACGAAUUUGAUCAGAAUGUGUGGAAAGUGUGACUUGCAAUCCAUCAAAACUCAGCCAAAUCAUGCAUUUUAAGAGUCAAUUAACUUUUUGAGACUUAAUUAAACAUGUUUAGGUCCAAAACGCAUGGUAGUUUACCUUGGAAUUCAGAUUAGUGAAGUUCAAAUUUCGGACCAUGGUGAUUUCUUCAGUUCCAAGUCACCAUGUUCAACUCAAUGGGGCAUCUUGCUCAGGAGGUUUUUUGAUCACAUUCUUCUUGCAAUUGUUUGACAUCAUAUAAAAGAUCACAAUAUGCCAAAAAAUAUUGAAUUUGUAUGCUUUAUCACAAAUUUGUGACAUGUUGAAGUUGGCACAAAAAUCUGGUAAUGUAACUCAGAAAGUUCUAAGUCCCAAAUGACUGAAAAUGACCUGUAAUGUCUCAAAGAAUUCCAUGGCCUUCCAAGCAUAAUUUCACUUUGAUCCUUGAAAAAAACUUGUAGAGGGCAUCACAAGUGAUAUUGUGAAAAAAGGAUCAGCCUCAAAUGUUAAAAAUUGAAUAAGUUAUAAUCCUUGAAAAUUAAGAAAAAGUCACUUGAAAAUAGGUCAAAAUUCACUAAGUCAACAAAUGACCUAUAAUGUCCUCAAACCUUUGAUGACCCUCCAAGCAUAAUUGGCUCUUGUCAUGUAAAUAGACGUUGUAGAGGAUGUUAAGAAGAGUCAUAUGCAAAAACAAGAAUUCAAAAAUGUUGAGAAUUGAAGGAGUUGUCAUCCUUUGAACUUUGACUUUAAACGUUGACUUUUUUGUCAAACCUCUUCGAAUGAACUUGUGCAUUUGGACUUUCCUUGCAUUUCAAGGUACGCGGGUGAUCAUAUGAACUUAAAAUGAUGUGUCCUUCAAUUUCUUUUGAUUAGGUUGCUCAAAGUUGGAGGUAACUUUUUGAAGAAGGCAUGGAAAUAAACACAUGAAUCUUUGACUUCUCUUGAGAAAUAAAUAACAAAACUUUGAGAUGUUCUUGAUGAAAAUGAGAUUGAAAGGUGCUUCAGAACCUUAGAGAUCAUUCUUUGAGAAAUGGUCCCCUUGAGAAUCAAUGGUUGACCACACUUUAACUUGAGGAAUCAACACAAACCCUACCUGAGGAACCAUGCUUGAUGCUCUUGAUGAAAAACCCUACCUUGCAUAAUAAACUUAAAUAAAACAAGACAUAUUUUUGCUAUUUUGAUUAGUAGUUAGAUAAACAAUAAACAUAUAAGAGAUAAAGAGGGAGAGGACAAAGAUGUGACCUUGUUUGCAUGAAACGAUGCAAAUGAUAUGUGGGAUCUUAGGUUUAAAAAUUAGGGUAUGGCACCAUGGAGUACCAUAGAUGUGAGGGGUGUUAAUACCUCCCCCUUGCAUAAUCGACUUCCAAACCGAUAUUUAGUUGCGAGACCAAUCCCUAUCCAUAUAUACACUCUUCAUGUAUUCAUUUUUAAGGGUUUUAUCUACUAUUUCCCCUUUCCUUUUAGGAAUAAAUAAAAUUCGGUGGCGUCUCUAUGUCAUUAUUUCUUUUGACGCCUUCGGUCAGUCGGCUCACUCCUUUCUUUUUCGUGGCAGAGACAGUGGGUCAGGAUCCACUUAUAAAGUAAAGGAAUACAAAAGUUGAUCAUUCCUCCCUUCUUCUUGUUUCUCCAAUGGAUGGAGUAAUAAACAUCGGCCAGAAGCAUGGGAAUAUGAUUCCUAGAUAGGAAGAUAUUUAUAGCAACUUUAUCAAUGAAGCCUUCAAUGUUUAGAAACAAUACCAAUCCAUAGAUGAGAAGAGCAAAUAGGGCAUAAAAAAUGUCCUGACUCAAACAAUCAGAAAAUGUGGUAGGCUUUUCAAUCAGAAAAUUUGAAAACAUUCCUCUAGUGUUUCCUUUGGUACGGAUGUUAGAUUCAACCACUUCAUUUUUAAGAUGAAGAGCUUGAGCUAUCAGAGCAGACUCUGGAAAACCAUUCAAGAUUGUGUAUAGAACUUGGUCCCUAAUUGGAAUAUGUAAGAUAUGAUAAAACUCUUCCAAAGUGGGAGCCAAUAGGAAAUCUUGGAAUGUGAAACAAUGCGGAGUAGGAUCAUAGAAUUGUGCAAAGGUGAGGAUCAAGCCGAUUUUCUCCUUGGAAAGCAGAAUACUCAAUAAGUGAGCUCCAAGAUUCCUUAAUUCAUCUUGCUUUUUUUCUCUAAGUUUAUAUUAGAAAGUGUUUCUUUUGUCAGAUUUUUCCAUAAUUGAAUGCUCUACUAUGAUUGGAUGACUGUGGGUUCCCUGAAAAUUAUGCACAUGCUAAAAUGAUUUUCAUGUGGACUAAAUGAAAACAUGUAUGCAACAUUCAUUUAUUCAAAGGUUCGACAUAUUCUGGAUGAUCUGUAUAUACUUCUCAAUGCAGGUUCAAAGGUCCGAUGUAUUCAUGAAAAUCAAUGUAUGUAGAGUCUUGGGUUUCCUACAAACCCAUAUCCCCUCACAGGUAGGUACUAUUAUUCAAAAAAGGAGGUUCCUAAAAAUGUCACUAGAUUAAUAAACCCAUUUUGAGAUACCAUUGUCUGAAACAAAUGACUCGUAAGAGAGUGAUGCUCCCAAAAGGAUAUACUCUACUUGUGGUGUCUCAUAUUGACCAUGAUCGAGGCAUAACACCAAGGAGGUCAACAUGAAUCUACCACUUACUAUCCUGUGUGUAUACUCAAGCUCUAGUAUAGAUCUUUUCUCUCAUGUAACAUUAUGAACCCCAACCCACAACAGAGGAUAUAACAGAUAUUCAGAAUAUGAUGAAUAUAUACAAUAGUAAAAAUGUGUUAAGAUAAAAUAAAGAUAAAACCAGUAAACAAUAAAGAUAAACACUCAAGCAUGCAAAGAAAACAAACAAAACUAGGCUUGAAUUACCUAGGGACUCCCCAAUAGAGUCGUCAGUUGUCGCGUCACAAAAAAUACCCGAGCGCAUCGCACGCUCGAAAUACAACAUAGUCACCAUUGAAUUUUAUUUAUUGUAAGAGAAAGGUAAAAUAUCAAUAAUAUACAAGGGAAGAGAAACAAGGUAAUUAAGUUGAUUAUGCAAGGGAAAGAUAUUAGCACCCCUCAUAUCCAUUGUAUUCAACGAAAACCAUUUUGAUUGUUCUUUGCAUAUAUGUGUGUUAUUAUCUAAAGGUUACUUUCGAUUGAUUUUCAUUAAGGGGGAAAUAAGUUAUUAAUUAAUGUGAUCACCAAGGAUUAGAACCCUUGUGUCUACGUAUUCUUAUAGUGCAAUGAGAAUAUAAGAGUUGCGUAGUUCGUGGUAGAAAACUAUGUAUUUUUGGUUGGUUUUAGGGAAUAGUUAUAAUUGUAUCCUAGAAGUGCUUUUACGUUAACUGAUUUUGAUCCUAGUUCGGAUGCUAUAAGCUUUUAGUCUUACUGCUAAGGAACAAAUUAUAACAGUUCUUUUAUGAAAACGGAGCUAAGAAGACCAGAGGAAGUAUAACUAGUUAAGCAUUUCGAAUUCCCUGCUUCUUGUGUUAAUUUCUUCUUUUUAUUCUUCUAUCCUUAGUCUAUAGGAAUUUGAUUGAGUGUUAUUGUGGUUGUUGUUGAGUGUUUGAGAGGUGAGGUUAAGCUCUUGUUGUAGCAAAACUUCAAGGUGAAAUUUUUCUCAAUAAUGGAAGCUGAGAGUUUUGAGUGUAUUGGUGAGGGAGAGUAGAGAUAAUUACAUAGAGUUUUGCUAUGAAUUCAUAAUGAGUUUGUAGAGUGAAUUAUUGUUGUGAGAUUGAAGAAAGUUUUGCUUAUAUAGAGAUUGAAGUGGAGGGAAAUUCAUAAUUGUUUAGGGAAGCUGUUAGGGCAAGUUGGUUAGAGGUUUAGUCAGCUGUGGAAGUUAGUUAAGUCAUGCACAAAUUUAGUUAGGCGAGUUAACAUUGUUAAUUUGCUGGUUAAUGAGCUUGAAUUCUGACAAUUAGUGGUGUUAAGAUUCCUGUGAAUUGAUGUUAAUUGAACUGUUAGUGAAUUGAGUUAGGGUGGUUAGUGGAAAUUGGAAGUGUUAAUUGAUGUUAAUUAAACUAAGUUAGUGAUUAGGAAUUAGUUAGUUUGAUUGGGAGAAUUGUCAUGUGAAUUGUGAUAGUUAGUUGGUGAAUCAGUUUAGAAAAGAUGUUGGCUAAGAGGUAGUUUAAUUUGUUAGUUAAGUUAUUUUGAACUGUCAUAGAAUUUGACUGUUAUAGAAAAAGAAUCAAUUAGGAUUUAGAGAUGUUAGUUAACCAGUAUUCUAAUUGAAUGUUAAUAGGAGUUGUUAGAAGAGGAACUAAUUAAUUUGGUUAGUUUGUAAUUUGAUAAAUAGUUAUGGUUAGCUAACUAUUUGUUGGUGUAAAUGUUAAUUAGGGCUAAUAAAUAAUUGGUUAACUGUAUUGAUAUGGACUCAGUUUAAUUGUGUGUACUUGAUGAAACUUUUAUCUAUUAUGUUAGAAAUUUAGAAAAAUAGUUAGUGCAUCAAAUGUUAGUGAUUCGAAAGAAGUUAGUUAAAAAGCAGUUUGCAAAAUAAAUUUAAUUUAGAAAUUAGUUAAUGGCAGUUAGUGAAUGAUUAGCUGACUGAAUUGGCUAAUGUUAAUGGCCUAAAAAAAGUUACUGAUAAUGAGAUUUUGAAGUUGGUUAUUUGUUAGAUGGUUAAUGUGCUUAACUUGAUAGAAAAUAUUGAUGAAGGUUAGAAUUAGCAUUAGAACCUAGCAGGAUUACAUGUUAGAGGUUGCUGUAGAUGGAAGUAUUUAGUGAUUAAAGGUGAACUAUGAUGGUUGCCUUGGACAUGUGUGCUUAUGAUGGGCCUGUUAUGGAUGUAUGCACUGCUGAGUUUUUUUAGAGCGUGUAUUAUGUGUGUGUGUGUGUGUGUGUUUGUGUGUGUGUAUGUGUUUGUUGAAUGUUAUGAUUAGACUUGGAUGUGUGUAGGUAUGCAUGAUACUUGUUUUAUGGCAUAUUUGAGUGUAUGUAUGCUUAAUGUAGCUUAGGUUUUCUUUUGAAGGGUUACUAUAAACUUUGUGUGGUGAGUCUCAGGCUUUGGACAUAGCAUUUCAACAUGGUAUAGGCUUGGCAUGGCAUCAUGAAGGUAUUUUACAAGGAAUGAUCAAGAUUUGGCAUAAAGAAUGAUGCUUGGUAUGAAUCAUGGAGAGAUUUGGGUACAUUGAAGAACUUGAAGGCACAAAUGGAGAAUCAAUAAGGAUGAAGACAAAAGUAGGUUUAGGUAGUCAGUUUGACUUUGGUCAAUUAUUUGACCAAAAGUCAACCUUAGGUAAAAAAGGUUGUACUUUUCCUUUUUAAUGAAAUUAUUUGGAUUUUGUAAUUGAAUAUUGGCCCUUUGAAUGUGAUUUGUAACUUUUUUCACAAGCUAUGCACAUUCCCUACAAUUUUGAAUUUGAAUUUGAACUUGAAAUCCUUUGAUUUGAA
rnacentral:lncRNA from 1 species